rnacentral:rRNA from 1 species
AUUGAACGCUGGCGGCAGGCCUAACACAUGCAAGUCGAGCGAGCGGCGGACGGGUGAGAAAUGUCUGGGAAACUGUCUGAUGGAGGGGGAUAACUACUGGAAACGGUAGCUAAUAUCGCAUACCAUCAGAUGUGCCCAGAUGGGAUUAGCUCGUAGGUGGGGUAAAGGCUCACCUAGGCGACGAUCCCUAGCUGGUCUGAGAGGAUGACCAGCCACACUGGAACUGAGACACGGUCCAGACUCCUACGGGAGGCAGCAGUGGGGAAUAUUGCACAAUGGGCGCAAGCCUGAUGCAGCCAUGCCGCGUGUAUGAAGAAGGCCUUCGGGUUGUAAAGCACUUUCAGCGGGGAGGCGUUACCCGCAGAAGAAGCACCGGCUAACUCCGUGCCAGCAGCCGCGGUAAUUC